rnacentral:rRNA from 1 species
GACAGAGGAUGCAAGUGUUAUCCGGAAUCACUGGGCGUAAAGCGUCUGUAGGUGGUUCGAAAAGUCCACUGUUAAAAAUUGAGGCUUAACUUCAAAGAUGCCGUGGAAACUUUCAAACUAGAGUAUGGUAGGGGUAGAGGGAAUUUCCAGUGGAGCGGUGAAAUGCGUAGAUAUUGGAAAAGACCACCGAUGGCGAAGGCACUCUACUGGGCCACUACUGACACUGAGAGACGAAAGCUAGGGGAGCAAAUGGG